AGCUUUGCGCAGUGGCAGUAUCGUAACCAAUUAGGUUUAUCUGAGGCGUGAUUAUUGCUAAUUGAUCAUUUCAUCACAAAGAUAAGUUUUGAAACCAAGAAGUAUG
rnacentral:snRNA from 1 species